rnacentral:lncRNA from 1 species
GGUUUCCAGGAUAACGGCUGCUUUCCCAGAGCCUGAGGGAUAUUGUGUCCUUCUGUUCUCUAGGGAAGGGCCCUUCCUGGAAGAUCUGUCCUGUGGGAGAAAGGACUUCGCGGAGCUUUGUGGGGGCUGCAGCUGAGGAGAGUGCUGGAGGCUUCAGUCGGAUCUGCCUUUCUUGCUAACUCAAGAAACAGUAAAAGGUGACAGGAAGGUGGCCCCGGAACAAAUGGAGUCCCGCAGUGGCCCAAGCCAUGUGGAAUAAACCAAAUCAGUGCUGGCAGAAACUGAACCUGGAUUAUGAGUGCUGGCGAAAAUGUAAACAAAAUUAUUAAAAGAAAAUUGAACAA